rnacentral:rRNA from 1 species
UUAAGCGACUAAGCGUACACGGUGGAUGCCCUGGCAGUCAGAGGCGAUGAAGGACGUACUAAUCUGCGAAAAGCGUCGGUAAGGUGAUAUGAACCGUUAUAACCGGCGAUGUCCGAAUGGGGAAACCCAGUGCAAUUCGUUGCACUAUCGUUAACUGAAUACAUAGGUUAACGAGGCGAACCGGGGGAACUGAAACAUCUAAGUACCCCGAGGAAAAGAAAUCAACCGAGAUUCCCCCAGUAGCGGCGAGCGAACGGGGAGCAGCCCAGAGUCUGAAUCAGCUUGUGUGUUAGUGGAACGGUCUGGAAAGUCCGACGGUACAGGGUGAUAGUCCCGUACACCAAAAUGCACAGGUUGUGAACUCGAAGAGUAGGGCGGGACACGUGGUAUCCUGUCUGAAUAUGGGGGGACCAUCCUCCAAGGCUAAAUACUCCUGACUGACCGAUAGUGAACCAGUACCGUGAGGGAAAGGCGAAAAGAACCCCGGCGAGGGGAGUGAAAAAGAACCUGAAACCGUGUACGUACAAGCAGUGGGAGCACCUUCGGGUGUGACUGCGUACCUUUUGUAUAAUGGGUCAGCGACUUAUAUUCUGUAGCAAGGUUAACCGUAUAGGGGAGCCGCAGGGAAACCGAGUCUUAACUGGGCGUUAAGUUGCAGGGUAUAGACCCGAAACCCGGUGAUCUAGCCAUGGGCAGGUUGAAGGUUGGGUAACACUAACUGGAGGACCGAACCGACUAAUGUUGAAAAAUUAGCGGAUGACUUGUGGCUGGGGGUGAAAGGCCAAUCAAACCGGGAGAUAGCUGGUUCUCCCCGAAAGCUAUUUAGGUAGCGCCUCGUGAACUCAUCUUCGGGGGUAGAGCACUGUUUCGGCUAGGGGGUCAUCCCGACUUACCAACCCGAUGCAAACUACGAAUACCGAAGAAUGUUAUCACGGGAGACACACGGCGGGUGCUAACGUCCGUCGUGAAGAGGGAAACAACCCAGACCGCCAGCUAAGGUCCCAAAGUCAUGGUUAAGUGGGAAACGAUGUGGGAAGGCACAGACAGCCAGGAUGUUGGCUUAGAAGCAGCCAUCAUUUAAAGAAAGCGUAAUAGCUCACUGGUCGAGUCGGCCUGCGCGGAAGAUGUAACGGGGCUAAACCAUGCACCGAAGCUGCGGCAGCGACACUAUGUGUUGUUGGGUAGGGGAGCGUUCUGUAAGCCUGCGAAGGUGGCCUGUGAGGGUUGCUGGAGGUAUCAGAAGUGCGAAUGCUGACAUAAGUAACGAUAAAGCGGGUGAAAAGCCCGCUCGCCGGAAGACCAAGGGUUCCUGUCCAACGUUAAUCGGGGCAGGGUGAGUCGACCCCUAAGGCGAGGCCGAAAGGCGUAGUCGAUGGGAAACAGGUUAAUAUUCCUGUACUUGGUGUUACUGCGAAGGGGGGACGGAGAAGGCUAUGUUAGCCGGGCGACGGUUGUCCCGGUUUAAGCAUGUAGGCUGAUUAUCCAGGCAAAUCCGGAUAAUCAAGGCUGAGGUGUGAUGACGAGGCACUACGGUGCUGAAGUAACAAAUGCCCUGCUUCCAGGAAAAGCCUCUAAGCAUCAGGUAACAUCAAAUCGUACCCCAAACCGACACAGGUGGUCAGGUAGAGAAUACCAAGGCGCUUGAGAGAACUCGGGUGAAGGAACUAGGCAAAAUGGUGCCGUAACUUCGGGAGAAGGCACGCUGGUGUGUAGGUGAAGUCCCUGCGGAUGGAGCUGAGACCAGUCGAAGAUACCAGCUGGCUGCAACUGUUUAUUAAAAACACAGCACUGUGCAAACACGAAAGUGGACGUAUACGGUGUGACGCCUGCCCGGUGCCGGAAGGUUAAUUGAUGGGGUUAUCCGUAAGGAGAAGCUCUUGAUCGAAGCCCCGGUAAACGGCGGCCGUAACUAUAACGGUCCUAAGGUAGCGAAAUUCCUUGUCGGGUAAGUUCCGACCUGCACGAAUGGCGUAAUGAUGGCCAGGCUGUCUCCACCCGAGACUCAGUGAAAUUGAACUCGCUGUGAAGAUGCAGUGUACCCGCGGCAAGACGGAAAGACCCCGUGAACCUUUACUAUAGCUUGACACUGAACAUUGAGCCUUGAUGUGUAGGAUAGGUGGGAGGCUUUGAAGCGUGGACGCCAGUCUGCGUGGAGCCAACCUUGAAAUACCACCCUUUAAUGUUUGAUGUUCUAACGUGGGCCCCUAAUCGGGGUUGCGGACAGUGUCUGGUGGGUAGUUUGACUGGGGCGGUCUCCUCCCAAAGCGUAACGGAGGAGCACGAAGGUUAGCUAAUCCUGGUCGGACAUCAGGAGGUUAGUGCAAUGGCAUAAGCUAGCUUGACUGCGAGCGUGACGGCGCGAGCAGGUGCGAAAGCAGGUCAUAGUGAUCCGGUGGUUCUGAAUGGAAGGGCCAUCGCUCAACGGAUAAAAGGUACUCCGGGGAUAACAGGCUGAUACCGCCCAAGAGUUCAUAUCGACGGCGGUGUUUGGCACCUCGAUGUCGGCUCAUCACAUCCUGGGGCUGAAGUAGGUCCCAAGGGUAUGGCUGUUCGCCAUUUAAAGUGGUACGCGAGCUGGGUUUAGAACGUCGUGAGACAGUUCGGUCCCUAUCUGCCGUGGGCGCUGGAGAAUUGAGGGGGGCUGCUCCUAGUACGAGAGGACCGGAGUGGACGCAUCACUGGUGUUCGGGUUGUCAUGCCAAUGGCACUGCCCGGUAGCUAAAUGCGGAAGAGAUAAGUGCUGAAAGCAUCUAAGCACGAAACUUGCCCCGAGAUGAGUUCUCCCUGAGACUUUAAGUCUCCUGAAGGAACGUUGAAGACGACGACGUUGAUAGGCCGGGUGUGUAAGCGCAGCGAUGCGUUGAGCUAACCGGUACUAAUGAACCGUGAGGCUUAACCU